rnacentral:lncRNA from 1 species
AAGAGUGUUAGUGCAGGAAAUUUCGAAAAAUGUCUGCAUGACCGCUAAAAAUUUGUUGUGCUACGCGACGGCUUGAACAUGAGCGCCAGAUGCUGUCCGUUGGUGUUUGGCAAGCUCGGACCCUGGCAAAGACGUGCCUCCCGCUCUGUACGGAAGUGAAACAGUCCAAGUUCGCGAAGCCUCUUGGUACUUUCUUUCUCAUGAUUACGUGCUGCAGACAUCUCUCUGAAGUACAACUGUUAAGGCUUCUGCUGCAUAUAUACCCAACGGAAACUUUAUGAGGAGGCGUCUCCUGCGUAUUUGGGUCACCUUCCAGAGUCCUCGUCUUCACAGAAUACCCUGUUCCUCACAGUUACGCCAUUCGAGCGCAACGCUGCCGGACUGCGCUUUUUUCGUGUCCAGUUGGUUCCGGUUUCUUCCUGAGUAUUAAAAACGAAUUGUCGUUUAUUUGUUGCCGUACCGCGGGGUCCACGUCAUUGACGGAACGAGACAAUCUCGUGGCUUCAGCGGUGGGUGUGCUGAUCUUCCGGCAUCUACCGUGACAUACUUUAUUUUCCCAUGUAGCAUAGAGUGUGUAUCACUCCGCCUCGACACAGCGCGGAGAAGGCCUACUUCUUUUGUGUUCAAAGACCGCUAGCGAGCCUUGAAGUCACACGACGACAGCGGGAGGUGCGAUAACGGAGAGUCAAGUUCCGGCGGGUAAAUUGUUUCCAUUAGUCCUUGGUUCCUCGUAGAGGGAUUUUUGGGAGAAUGUGUGCUGCAUCCCAGUUGAUCGCGUUCUGGAAAAGUUUUCGACGGAAUCCCCCGGAGAAUGUGUGCUGCAUCCCAGUUGAUCGCGUUCUGGAAAAGUUUUCGACGGAAUCCGAUAGCAUUCAUGGUGUCUAUCCUGGUGAUGCUAAUGGCGCUGAAGGUGUUUUUCUUCUUGUGUCCUGACUAUGAUCCCGAUCGCACCCCCGUGGUGUGGAAUGGGGAAACACGCUGAUUCGUUCUACAUGCGGUAGCAUUCAAGACAGGUUGAGGAAGGCUAGGGUUGGAGUUAGACGACAUCCAAUCAAGUAAGCAACAAGCUAACCCGCAGUGACUUGUGACGAACUACACACGUCGGGGAUGAUUUGGCAAAUUUUUCGAGAUCUCUAUCUCUCCUGCUCCCCAGGGGAGCAGUCCUUACUGCUCGUGAAGCUACACAACGUGUGACGUCCAAGAAAGGCAUACAAACCGAAGCACACAACACAACGGUGAAUAUCAUCGUCAAUGGCGUACGACAAAUUUUGCCGUAUCUAAAGUGUGAGUGCUUGAAAGGCUAAUGUAGCAUGAUGCAGAUUUCCGAGUCUGGUUUUAAAAUGUGUUGGUUUCCACCGCCUCAAGGUUACGUUGUUUCUGCUAAUCAUCAUUGGUCUUUCUGGACGUGUACGCAGCGAUUUCGCCGGUGUGCCUCGUGCGUGACCCACAUGAAUGAGUUCCGUCAACUGAAGACCCUGGGAAAACAAAAAGAUUAACUUGCUACAUUCUUCGUGGACUGUGCGUUUACUAUGAUGGACACUUCGAUCAAAUUGUUUAUUCAGUAUGGCGGAGGCCUGUGUUGCAUAGAGUAGGCGCGUCAGCGUUUUCACGACGCCUCAGGCCGAAGUGUCUUACGCUGUCGGUAUAUUCAUAUCCGAAUCCUCUUAAGUAUGCUUAUGGGAUGACGGUCUCUUCCGUGCAGCGAGAACUGCCUUCACAAUUUUUUUGAGUCCGCUUCUGACAACGACCAGUACACACUGCAUAACUUUUCAGCCCGUCCGAAUGUUCAUAUUUGCUUGCGACAGGCCACUUGGUGCCCCGCAUCAGUGGUAAAACAGCUGCGGAAACGGAUGUCUCUUGGGUAGUCGAUUAUCCGUCUAGAUGUGCCGCAGCGGUUCCUCUUAGGCUCAUCGAGGUAACGCUCAAUCACGGUCAAUAGGGUGGAGGCUGUCCCGAGCUGCACGUGGACACAGGGCAAAGUUCAGAAGCGAGAACUUCAAUCCAGAGUAGCUUGUGAUCUCUGCGGUCC